rnacentral:rRNA from 1 species
AUUGAACGCUGGCGGCAGGCUUAACACAUGCAAGUCGAGCGGAGAUGAGGUGCUUGCACCUUAUCUUAGCGGCGGACGGGUGAGUAAUGCUUAGGAAUCUGCCUAUUAGUGGGGGACAACAUUCCGAAAGGAAUGCUAAUACCGCAUACGUCCUACGGGAGAAAGCAGGGGAUCUUCGGACCUUGCGCUAAUAGAUGAGCCUAAGUCGGAUUAGUUAGUUGGGGGGGUAAAGGCCUACCAAGGCGACGAUCUGUAGCGGGUCUGAGAGGAUGAUCCGCCACACUGGGACUGGGACACGGCCCAGACUCCUACGGGGGGCAGCAGUGGGGAAUAUUGGACAAUGGGGGGAACCCUGAUCCAGCCAUGCCGCGUGUGUGAAGAAGGCCUUAUGGUUGUAAAGCACUUUAAGCGAGGAGGAGGCUACUGAGACUAAUACUCUUGGAUAGUGGACGUUACUCGCAGAAUAAGCACCGGCUAACUCUGUGCCAGCAGCCGCCGUAACAC